rnacentral:rRNA from 1 species
GACGAACGCCGGCGGCGUGCUUAACACAUGCAAGUCGAACGGUAAGGCCCUUCGGGGUACACGAGUGGCGAACGGGUGAGUAACACGUGGGUGAUCUGCCCUGCACUUCGGGAUAAGCCUGGGAAACUGGGUCUAAUACCGGAUAGGACUCCUGGCUUCAUGGUUGGGGGUGGAAAGCUUGUGCGGUGUGGGAUGGGCCCGCGGCCUAUCAGCUUGUUGGUGGGGGAAUGGCCUACCAAGGCGACGACGGGUAGCCGGCCUGCGAUGGGGACCGGUCACACUUGGACUGCGAUACGGCCCAGACUCCUACGGGAGGCAGCAGUGGCGAAUAGUGCACAAUGGGCGCAAGCCUGAUGCAGCGAGGCCGCGUGAGGGCGGACGGCCUUCGGGUGGUAAGCCGCUUGCAGCUAUGACGAAGCGCAAGUGGCGGUAGUAGCAGAAGAAGGGCCGGCCAACUACGUGCAAGCAGCCGCCGUAA